GGAAGACACCCUGCUGAUUGCCCGGCACGUUAUUCUCUGUUUGGCAGUGGUAAUCUGCUUGACGAUUUUCUUGCGUGGCUACAACAAACAGCAGAAUGCAUUCAGACAAAGAAGUUCAACUGUUCCCAUUUUUGGGGUGAUCGAUACUCACCGACACUUUCCGGCGCUGUCAUCGCUUGUAAUAUCCUGAAAGAUCUGGAGGGAAUUGCGCUGCCCAUGUAUUUCUUUGGCUCUGGAACUUGCUGUUCACUUGGUGGUAGGUUUGCUUGCAUUUCUUC